AUACGGAGGAUGCGAGCGUUAUCCGGAUUUAUUGGGUUUAAAGGGUGCGUAGGCUGUGCGUUAAGUCAGGGGUGAAAUGCCGUCGCUCAACGACGGAGCUGCCCUUGAUACUGGCGUGCUGGAGUACGGAUGCCGUUGGAGGAAUGAGUGGUGUAGCGGUGAAAUGCUUAGAUAUCACUCAGAACACCGAUUGCGAAGGCAUCUGACGAAUCCGUCACUGACGCUGAGGCACGAAAGCGUGGGGAAAGAACAGGAUUAGAUACCCUGGUAUUCCACGCCGUAAACGAUGAUGACUAACCGUCGGCGAUAGACAGCCGGUGGCCAAGCGAAAGCGAUAAGUCAUCCACCUGGGGAGUACGUCGGCAACGAUGAAACUCAAAUGAAUUGACGGGG
rnacentral:rRNA from 1 species